GGCGCGUUAGUCUAACGGUUAAGGACAUUACCCUCUCAAGGUAGAGAUACGAGUUCAACUCUCGUACGCGCCA
rnacentral:tRNA from 1 species